CAAUAGCGUAUAUUAAAGUUGUUGCAGUUAAAAAGCUCGUAGUUGGAUUUCUGGUUGAAGCGACCGGUCGGGCGUUGAUUCGUCUGCACUGGAGUCGGUUUUGGCCAUCCUCUAGGAAAGUGCGUCUGGUAUUAAGUUAUCGGGCGUAUGAUCCUGGUCUUUUACUGUGAAAAAAUUAGAGUGUUUAAAGCAGGCCUUCGCCUUGAAUACAUUAGCAUGGAAUAAUAAGAUAGGACUUUGGUCUAUUUUGUUGGUUUGCAGACCGAAGUAAUGAUUAAUAGGGAUAGUUGGGGGUAUUUAUAUUCCGAUGUCAGAGGUGAAAUUCUUGGAUUUAUGAAAGAUGAACUACUGCGAAAGCAUUUACCAAGGAUGUUUUCAUUAA
rnacentral:rRNA from 1 species